AUCGAGGAAGGAGUAGAAUCGUAAAAAAGAUGAAUAUGAGAAACCUAACCCUAGUUAAGUCGACUAACAUAAAUCAUUCUUAUACCCAUUGUUCUAGGUCAAACACCUCUUAGAUAUGGAAUGUACAGAAACAAAUACAUCUACACCUAUAGCCAAGAAAAAGAAGAAAAUGUUGCUCAACUUUUAAGAGACAAUUCCUUCGGAAAUGGGUAGUGAUCGGAGAGCUUCUCAACGUCUGAACUGUCUUCACCACCGCCUUCCUUAGAGCAUCGCCCUUCUCAUUCUCUCCCGGUGACGUCAUAUAGCCUCUACCUUCUUUGCUUCUCCCAUUUAUCCGACGUCCUCUUUCUCCUUGGCUUUUGGUUUCCUAUCGAAACAAUCGAUGGGUUCAGACGAGGAAGUUGUGGAAAUUAGUAGUUUGGAAAGGGGUCUAUUGUCGGAAUGCAGCUCUGAUUUGGAACCCGAAAGCGAUGAUGAACCUGUGUUGUUUGCAGCUUCCUUUCAAGAGAUGGAAGACAAUUUUGUUAAGUAUCAUACAGCACAGUGGGUUCUUUACUCCUUUCUUUUGAUUUUGGCGUGGGGGAUUGGGUUGUUGAUGUUGCUUUAUCUACCAGUAAGAAGAUACAUUCUGCGGAAAGAUCUUCAAUCGAAGAGGCUUUAUCUUACGCCGAAUUCAAUAGUAUACAAGGUUACAAGACCUGUACCUUUUCCAUGUUUUGGAGUAUUGAAGAAAGAGAAGCAUGUUCUGUUGCCUUCAGUGGCAGACAUUAUAAUUGAACAAGGAUAUUUGGAAUCUCUCUAUGGAGUUUACUCUAUUAGGAUAGAGAAUGCUGGCGUGAGAAGACCACCUGGUGAUGACGUUCAUAUCCAAGGAGUUGCGGAUCCAAUUGCAUUUAGAAAGGCUGUUCUAAUGCGUCUUGCUGAUAUGAGAGAUGAUGGCAAAACUUCUCAAAUUUCUACAAUUGAAGAAGUUUUAAAUACAAAGGCAUCCCCAUCAAAAUCUCUAAAGUAUGACCCGUAUUUAUAUUCGGGUGAACAAGUACUUCAGAAAGUAGAUGAGGUUGGAAGUUCUGUGAAGAGAGUUCAAGCUUUGAUUGAAGAGCAACGGUCUCAAGUAUCUAACAUUUUAGAUUGAAGUGUGUAUGUGACAAGUAAAUGGUAUUAUGAUAGCUACAGUCACUGGCAGAGGCAAAAUUAAUGUUGUAUAUAAGGUGGAGAAUUUUUGGUACUUGGUAGCUUGUUUGGGAAUGUUUGACAAGAUUCUUUUCGAUCUUUCAUUGACAAAGUUUGUCUUGCUCGAGUUUUGUGAUCAGCUCCAAAAUGGUAGAAGGCCAGUCCCAAUUUUAUGAGGAUUGAAGCCGAGUAUGCUGAAGAAAAUAUACUCCUAACGAGUAAGAUUUCUUCUAAACUCUAUUCUAUGGCCGAUGAGUCGUAUCAAUUACCAUUUGUAUACUGAUUGAGGGCCUAAGGCUGUAGUUUUGGAAGAAAUGUUCUAGUUUACUCUCGUAUAGAUGUAUUUUUUACUGCUGGAAACCACCAAAGUAUAUAUAUGAUAUAAACAUGGUUUUGGGUUUUUCUUUUCUCUUGAAUUUAUUAAAAUUAUUUGGAAGAAGCAUAUUCAUGUAAUUAAAUUACUAUUACUAUUGCAUC